GGCAAGUCCCAGAGAGCCCUGGGGACAGCCUGUGCUCCUAGCCCGCCUACCUGCCCACCCCAGGCUACAGCCCGGUGAACGGAACUGUGAUGCAUGAAAUGAGGGGGGAAAGACCGGUGAGGUCAUGCUGGCCUUGUUAACUGUUGGCAAAAAAGCAGGCAACAGAAAGGGGAAUGUCAGAUUUCACCUGUGAAUUAAUUUACUUCGUGCAGUGCUUGGAUUAAGCUGGCAGAACAUGAGAACCACAUCAGCAUGAUCAAAGCUUCAUAAGGAUCUAUUGGCAUUGAAAUAAGGAAGUAUUACACGUAAUCCAGGACAAUUGGCUGGCUUACUUGGGUGUAUCAGACAUUCCCAUAUCCUGUACAAAUAAGGAUUUGUGAGGCUCCAAGAUGGAUUGUGAAGCAGCCAUUAAUGCUUCUACGUGAUUAUGGAACUUGGGGAGCCAGCUUGGCAUCCCACUGGAAGUCAGAUGAUGUUAUGAUUACAAGGAAGUAUUGAUAUACUUCCCUAAUUGUUUCUUAGGACUUUGGAUUCUAUUUGUGAUGUCAUUACAAAGCUAUGCAUUAUCUGCAUAAUCGCCAAGGAAAAGACUCUCUCAUGAAGGGAAAUGCGUCCCACUGAGAUAAUGCCGCAAGCUACUGCUAUACAUCCAACGGCAUAUGUAUGGUGUUGAAAUAAUAAGACAGCAUGGAAUAAUGAUGAAGGCCAUAUUGUGUAUCAGGAGCUUGUAACCAUCUGGCAAUUUGCUGGUAUCCUGUAGGACUACUUACCUUGCAGAAUAAGGUGCUGAUUCACGAGGGUGCAAGCGAUGAGGAGCUCACUGCAAAAAGGAGCCCAGACUGCUUUACACAAGGAGACAGUAUGAGGCCUGGAGUGGUGCGGCUUCUAGCCCUUGUUGCCGUCUGCAUUAAGAACCUUCACUUUCUUCACUAGAUGCAGAAGUGGUGGGAGUCUGCUAUAAGCUUGCCUUUGUUUUUACUUCCUUCUGGGCAUUGCUUACAGGGGUCACAGACAUUCAGAUCAUGGCAGAACUGUCACAGAUGUUACUUUGUGAAAACACAAAGAAUAAUGUGUUUGGAGAGAUCAGUCUUCAAUUAGCUAUAUUUUCUAGGAGCCUACCUUUACUUAGCCUCACAACAUGGGCCUUAGCUUUAGCACUUAAUCUGCACAAAUACCUGGCUUAAGUGUUAUGACUGACUGGCUAUUCAACCAAACCAUACAAAUGACCAAUUCGGUAAGAAAGCAUGAACUUCAGUGUUGAACCAAAUCAACCAACCUCCUCAAUCCAAAUGAACAAUGCUAUUCUAGGAGUCUGUGCUAGAAUAAAAUCCUAAUGCAAAGGCUGUCUUAAAAUGCUGAACCCAGAAGAAUUUGGCAUAAAUAAGACAUGGAGUUAGCUGACAUGAGAUAUUACAUUUAUUCCACUGUUGACGAGGACAAAACUGGGCCGCUAUUGUCACAGGAGAUGCCUGUGAAAGAGGAUGGGCCAGGGUCAGCUUUCACCUUCAUAUCCUCCCAUGCAGAAAACGGAAGCAUGUUUGGGCUGAGAGGACAGGUUGCCAGUUGUCUGAACCAGUCAUUCCAACCAGGCUUCACACUUCUGCAAAGAAGAGAGGGCUAGAAUGCCCAGUAGGAGUGCAGACUGGAGGAUCGGCUGUUUUUUGAACUGGAGACAUCACAGGAAACUGGGGAGGCUCCAAAUUGCUAACCUGAGGCCGGAGCAAAAACUUUUUUUUUGUCGAAGGGACUGCUUUUUUUAUUUCCCCUUCAACGGAUGGCAUCCCAAGUCCUGCUGGAUUGCAUCUGUCUUUGUUCCUGCAGCCAAGCCUUUGAGGAAGUCUGUUCUGGAGGCACCAUGACAAAGCACCAGACAGAAAGCAGUCACGUGUGGGGAGAUGAGCAGAGACACCACUUCUCAAGCACCUGAUUAUUCUUUCUCAGUAUUUAGAAGCAAAAAUUAUCCUUAAGAAAAACAACCGCAAACGCAACACAGGCUACACAGAUGAGAAAAUGGACUGCACUAAACAGUCACAGGACCAAGAUAUAGAUUCCUAUUUCCAGGCUUGCAGAGCUCAAACCAUUACACCAUUCAGAAGCUGGCUUUGGUAUUACUUCAAGUUAUUCAAAACAGUCACCACUUGCUGAGCCUCUGAUGUCUCAUCUGUUGAAUGGGUACAUUUUCUUCCUGAUCCUUCCACCUCUAAACUUGUCUAUUUCCAAGGAUCUAUGGCAUCCAGGCAUAUGGUUCCCCAUCUUCGUUGAAGGCCCCACAUCAUUUGCCAUGAACUUGCAGAAGAUUUCAAGAGAGAAGGCUGAAAAGGAAGGUGACUGGAAUAUUAAGAACUGUGAGAUAUUCUGAGGAAACUCUAAUUUGUAAAUUGGUAGAAAUGCCAGUAAUUUGUUGGGAAUUGAAGACCCUCUGUAUUCAAGAGCGAAGCUUGGCAGCUGUGCACUGUUGUUUUAUAAAUCAAUAUUACAUCU
rnacentral:lncRNA from 1 species